rnacentral:tRNA from 1 species
GCCUCCGUGGCGCGAUUGGCUAGCGCGUUCGGCUGUUAACCGAAAGGUUGUAGGUUCGAGCCCUCCGGGGGCG